AGCAGCCGCGGUAAUUCCAGCUCCAAUAGCGUAUAUUAAAGUUGUUGCAGUUAAAAAGCUCGUAGUUGAAUUUCGGGAUCAAUACGUCGGUCGUGCUUCGGUACGUACUGGCGUAAUUGAUUUCUCCCUUCUGACGAACCAUGAUGUCAUUAACUUGGUGUCAUGGGAAAUCAGGACUGUUACUUUGAAAAAAUUAGAAUGUUUAAAGCAGGCUCACGCUUGAAUACAUUAGCAUGGAAUAAUGAAAUAGGACGUUCGAUCCUAUUUUGUUGGUUUUUAGGAUCAACGUAAUGAUUAAUAGGGAUAGUUGGGGGCAUUAGUAUUCAAUUGUCAGAGGUGAAAUUCUUGGAUUUAUUGAAGACUAACUACUGCGAAAGCAUUUGCCAAGGAUGUUUUCAUUAAUCAAGAACGAAAGUUAGGGGAUCGAAGACGAUCAGAUACCGUCGUAGUCUUAACCAUAAACUAUGCCGACUAGGGAUCGGAUGAUGUUUAAUUUUUAAUGACUCAUUCGGCGCCUUAA
rnacentral:rRNA from 1 species